rnacentral:rRNA from 1 species
ACGAACGCUGGCGGCGUGCCUAAUACAUGCAAGUAGAACGCUGAAGGAGGAGCUUGCUUCUCUGGAUGAGUUGCGAACGGGUGAGUAACGCGUAGGUAACCUGCCUGGUAGCGGGGGAUAACUAUUGGAAACGAUAGCUAAUACCGCAUAAUAUUGACUAUUGCAUGAUAGUCAAUUAAAAGGUGCAAUUGCACCACUACCAGAUGGACCUGCGUUGUAUUAGCUAGUUGGUGAGGUAACGGCUCACCAAGGCGACGAUACAUAGCCGACCUGAGAGGGUGAUCGGCCACACUGGGACUGAGACACGGCCCAGACUCCUACGGGAGGCAGCAGUAGGGAAUCUUCGGCAAUGGACGGAAGUCUGACCGAGCAACGCCGCGUGAGUGAAGAAGGUUUUCGGAUCGUAAAGCUCUGUUGUAAGAGAAGAACGAGUGUGAGAGUGGAAAGUUCACACUGAUGACGGUAUCUUACCAGAAA